GACGUAGGGGGCCAGCGUUGUUCGGAAUUACUGGGUGUAAAGGGUUCGUAGGCGGUGCGGCAAGUCGGGAGUGAAAUCUCUGGGCUUAACCCAGAGGCUGCUUCCGAAACUGCAGUGCUUGAGUGUGGGAGAGGCGCGUGGAAUUGCAGGUGUAGCGGUGAAAUGCGUAGAUAUCUGGAGGAACACCGGUGGCGAAGGCGGCAUCCUGGACCAACACUGACACUGAGGAGCGAAAGCCAGGGGAGCAAACGGG
rnacentral:rRNA from 1 species